rnacentral:lncRNA from 1 species
CUCCGUGCAGACGCUGUGUGAAGCGCUGGGGUCGGAGGUCACUGUCAGGGGCCUCUGUACUGCACGCCCACUGGGUGCCUGGGCUUUACCUGCUGUCCCGUGUGAUGCCCACUGCCACCCCCGAGAGGGAGGCCCAAGUCCUCUCACCCCACCGUGGAGGAGGCCGGACAUGCAGUCGUUGAACACAGGCCCCACCCCUCCGCCCUGCUCCCUCUCCAGCCGCAGAACUCGGGGCUCGAGGAAUUGGGAACCGCAAUAUCUUUCUGUUGGGCAGCGCUGUUCCAGCCACUGUGUUUGUGCAACAAUGCAGCGGGCUGUCUCACCAGGCGGUCAGCCUCCCCUCACUGGAGAUGUUAACGAAAGGCAUUGGUAAUAGACUUCUUGUAGCAAGAUGGAUGAACUCCGUAAUCCCUCC